rnacentral:sRNA from 1 species
GCCAGGCAUGGUGGUGCAUGCCUGUAAUCCCAGCAGCUCGGGAGGCUGAGGUAGGAGGAUCGCAAGUUCAAAGCCAACCUCAGCAAUUUAGCAAGGCAUUAAGCAACUCAGUGAGACCCUGCCUCUA